AAGACUGAGCUUUCCGGCGAGCUUUUUGAGACCUCCCCCGGCUGAAUCGGCUAUUCUCGUCUACUUUCGAGGCGAGCUGUAGCUCGUCUCAAACAAGUUAAAUACUGUUGGAAGCUCAGGUUCAGUUCAACUGUAUCCAGUCAUGCCAACGAGGGUCUGUUUCCUGUCUUGUGAGGGGAAAUCUUCAAUGUAUGCCUUACCGAGGGCAGAACCACGCCGAAGUCAGUGGUUGACAUUUCUUGUUAACACUGUUCCUUCAGAUGUUCGAGGUAUUGUACUGUGUGCGCGGCAUUUCACGAACCAAAGCUUCGCAAACAUUGCAGCGUUUCAUGCCGGAUAUGCACAGCGUAGGACACUGAAGGACGAUGCUGUUCCUACUUUGUUUGGACCAGGAGAUUCGGGUACACAACCUAGUACAUCACAGCAGGACCCCGGUACCCCCCACCGCUCCAGUACAGUCGGAUGCCAAACAGACCGUACACAGACUGUUUCUGUGGGAACUCGGAGGGUUGAGACACCGUCCGUGGGGACACAGACAGUGAAAUGUAAAGUGUCCGCCGUUUCAGUUGCUACACAGUUGUCCUGGGGAACACUGAAGUCGGCACACGUGAGAAGCAAAGGCAUCCAGGCCACGGUGUCUUUACAAAAUGUUGGCACUAAAACUUCCACCUACCCAGAAUUCCCCUUAGCCUCUUCUACACCAAUAAAGGGCCCAGGAUUGGGACCUAGCAAGAGACCUCGACUGGAGUUGGAGGAGGAACAAGGAGAGACUUCGACUGAACUUGAAGAGGCUCUGGAUUCGAGUUACCACCCUGAUGAUACUGUAGAAGAAUCUGACGUAUCACUUCAGACACGAUCCACGCACAGUGACGCAAAGUACAUUGUUUUUGAAAGCUGCCUCGGACAGCUGUUUGAAAAAUGUCCGGUGUGUAAGACAGACUGUGAUGUCCAAAGACGAAAAAUGGGGACUUUUGUGGCGUUCAUACAGCGUUGUCCAAACUGCACUUACUUCAGACAAUGGGAGAGCCAGCCCAUCAUCUGAAGUACCCCGGUUGGCAACUUACAAUUAUCCGCUGCUACAUACUUCACUGGUGCUUCCUUCUUCCAACUACAAAAGAUAUGCAGAGCCAUGCAACUGGAGAUCUUCCAGUAUGAGACCUUCAGGAGGCAUGCUAGGAAUGACCUGGAGCCUGCUAUUAUCCACAAGUGGAAGACUGAUCAGCUGCAUUUUUUUCCAGCAACUACAACACCAGGGGGGAAAGGUCACAGUUGGAGGAGAUAUGAGAGCAGACUCUCCAGGGCACUCAGCCAAGUUCGGGAGCUACACACUCAUGCAACUGGGAAGCAACACCAUUGUGGACUUCCAGCUUGUUCAGAGCAAUGAAGUAGGUGGUAGUUAACACAUGGAAAAGGAGGGACUCAAAAUAUGCCUAGAUCAUCUGGAGUCAAACGAUUUGGCGGUUGAGUACAUUGUGACUGACCGUCAUCCACAGAUCCAGAAGUUUCUGAGGGAACGCAACAUAGAACAAUCCUAUGAUGUGUGGCACUUUGAAAAAGGUUUGUCCAAGAAACAUUUACAGAACAAGGACUGCAAGGUGUUGAAGAGGUGGCUGCACAGCAUAAACAAACCAUGUAUACUAGAGUGCGACGGGCACAACCUCGGGGCCAGAGAAGGUGGCAAGGUGGACGUCAGUGGUCAACCACCUACAAAACAUUCACGUGCAUGACGUCCCCCUAUUCCCCAAGUGUUCACAUCCUGAAAGAGCCUCAAGCGAUGCAAAUAAAUGGCUACAACCUGGUAAGUUCAAUAUUUAUGAAACAAUUGGAAAUAACAAGUGAAACAUUUAAAAACACUUCACUUCCUUCAUAAGAUCAACAAUAUUGAAUGUAAAUAUAACAUUGUUGUUAUGGCAAAUUAUUGGUGUAAUGUUCUAAUUCUAAUGUUUGAGGAAGUCUUUGAGGACCCAACACCCUUUGUGGAUGAGAUGAAUACAAUCCCCAUCCCAAAGGACCUGUCCACUCAAUUUGAAAUUUGACAAGCCCUCGAUCAGGAAACUCCUGGCGUAUCCGGCGGACAACACAUGACGGGAUGACCACUCUGAUGCCUCGUCCUAAAAAGCCCCAGCACCAGCUUACAAAGCUGCGAUGCCUAAAAGGGGAGGAAUGGAUCAUAUACAGUGUAUAUGUAUAUUUACACAUGUUCAUUUCUAAAAAUAAAGUUUGAUGGAAAUACUUA